rnacentral:lncRNA from 1 species
GUUUUCCACAGAGAGGACGCCGUGGCGCCCGGGUGCAAGGCCAGCGGGCGCGGCAGCCGCGUCACCCACCUCCUGGGGUACCCGACGCAGAACGUCAGCCGCUCCCUGCGCCGCAAGUACGCGCCUCCCCCCUGCGGCGGCCCCGAGGACGUGGCCCUGGCGCCCUGCACCGCCGCCGCCGCCUGCGAAGCGGGCCCCUCCCCGGUCUACGUCAAGGUCAAGAGCGCGGAGCCGGCUGACUGCGCCGAGGGGCCGGUGCAGUGCAAGAACGGCCUCUUGGUCUCCAGCCCACACUGUGAAGAGCCUUGUGCCCACAGCUGUGCACAUCCUGGGCUUCCUCCACACCUUGUCCAUAAACUGCCCCUCAGCUACCUUCAGACCCAGGAUACAGGAGAACAGAUGCAAAAACUAUUGCUCAAGGAAAAUAAAGUGAAAACGAGGAAAAGCAAAAGAAGAUCUGGAGAGGGCUCUCACCUGACCACAAGCAUCCUGGAGCAAUGAGUUUCAGGCAGGAAGACUCAUCCUGAGCUGAGCUGCUUUUCUUGAAGUUGUGCAAGAACGUCCUGUUGGCUGGGGCAAAUUCAGUAUUUCUUUUCCUGGCCACUGUGCUGGAGCGUGAGGAAAGACUCUCCACCCUCACUCCCAGAUCCUGCAGGAGGCGUGAGAGCGGAUGGAGAUGGUGAGGAUGUCUAUUAAUAUGGUGUUUCCUGCAAAACGGUGCCCAUCUCAACCAUGGGUUGUCAACCAUCCUCGGUGUCUACAACUGCAAUUUACCUUUGAGGGCCCAUGAACUCUGAUUACCUGAAAGUCCUUAGGCCAGAAAGAGAAACCCCUGUCCCCCACCUCUCACUUUCACCUAUUUCUAGACCUUUUCUUACAGCAAUGCCUUGGCCCUCAGGAAGCAUCAGAUCUCAAACUGCAGGGUCUGGGGCUGAAGCUGAUGCUGGCAUGGGUGACUCAGAGUUCCUCUAUUAGUUCAAAUAUGUAAUAUCUUUUAGAGCCUAGGACUCAGGCUGGAGGCAAUUCCUUGGUGCCAGUUGGUUAAUACUUUAUGAAUAGUGGUGGGGGAGGGAAUGCCUUGGACUAUUAAUGUCCCCAUGGAUCUGGAUCCUGGAGAACUUCCAGUGUCCUGGAUGGAAUGUUCUGCUUGGCUCAUCUUGCCCAGAGAAGAGCCAGGAUAUGAGAAGAUGGGAGAGGGAAGGGGGAGGUGUGAAACGUGCUGGUGCUUCCUGUCCUCGUGGUGUGAUGGCUGCCCAGGCUGCUCCUUCGAGGCAGGACAGGAUUCCCAUGGGAGAUAUGAGGACCAUGGUGAUUUCCAGGCACCAGUUAUGUCCCAGAGCAUCGUGUGCCUGUGCAGUGGGGUUACUGAUAGUCCAGGCAUCAGUUCAUAUUGUCCUUUAUGGCAGAUCCUGCACAAGGGGGUUCUCUGUCUCUGGACCCACUCUGUCAGCAUGGACAUCCUUUUUCUUUUUCCCUGGUAAGGACAUCAGAAAGAAAGUUACCCCUCCAGUGUUUGGAGUCUUGGAAUCCUUGGCCUGCCUGCAGGCCUCUGAAUCCUCAGUGUGUUAGCCCAAGGUCACCUUAGGUAAAGGAACAUUUCUCCUGGUCUUCCAACACCCUGGAAAGGGAGGCUCUUCAAGAAUAGGAAAUUCUUCCUAGUAUCUAACCUUGGCCUGCAACUAUGCCAUACAUUUAAUUGUAGAAGGUAUGGAAAGUUAGGACUGUGGUGGACCCAGUUAAAUCACUGGACAGAAGCCAUGAGGCAGAGCCAGAACCAGCUUCUGGACUCCCUGCAUGGAGCUUUCUACUAUCCCAGGUUGUUGGGUCCCUUCUCAGUGGCCAAAGAUGCUAUUUUAUGAGCCUUGAGGACAUGACACUAAGUGAAAAAAGCCUGGCCAAAGGGCCACAUAGUGUAUAGUUCUAUUUAUAUGAAAUGUCCAGGAAAGACAAAAGCAUAGAGGCAGAAAGCAGACUAGUGCUGUGGGAGGAAUGGGGGAUUUGGGAGGUGAUGGCUAAGGGGUUAUGGGGUUUUGGGGGAGGUAAUAGAAAUGUUUUAAAAUUGGUUGUGAAGGUGGAUGCCCAACUCUGCGAAUACACUAAAAGGCAUCGAAUUGUAUACUUUAAAUAGGUGAAUUGUAUGCUAUGUGAAUUAUAUCUCAAUAAAGGUAUUUUUUCCCUGCAAAAAAAAAA